AUUGAACGCUGGCGGCAUGCCUUACACAUGCAAGUCGAACGGUAACAGGUCUUCGGAUGCUGACGAGUGGCGAACGGGUGAGUAAUGCAUCGGAACGUGCCCAGUAGUGGGGGAUAGCCCGGCGAAAGCCGGAUUAAUACCGCAUACGACCUGAGGGUGAAAGGGGGGGAUCGCAAGACCUCUCGCUAUGGGAGCGGCCGAUGUCAGAUUAGCUAGUUGGUGGGGUAAAGGCCGACCAAGGCAACGAUCUGUAGUUGGUCUGAGAUGAAGACCAGCCACACUGGGACUGAGACACGGCCCAGGCUCCUACGGGAGGCAGCAGUGGGGAAUUUUGGACAAUGGGCGCAAGCCUGAUCCAGCAAUGCCGCGUGCAGGAAGAAGGCCUUCGGGUUGUAAACUGCUUUUGUCAGGGAAGAAAUCUUCUGGGUUAAUACCUCGGGAGGAUGACGGUACCUGAAGAAUAAGCACCGGCUAAAUACGUGCCAGCCGCCGCUGUAA
rnacentral:rRNA from 1 species